AGCGAACGCUGGCGGCAGGCCUAACACAUGCAAGUCGAACGGACCCUUCGGACUUAGUGGCGGACGGGUGAGUCACACGUGGGAACGUGCAGUUAGGUUCGGAAUAACUCAGGGAAACUUGUGAUAUUACCGAAUGUGACCUUCGGGGGAAAGAUUUAUCGACUUUAGAGAGGUCCGCGUCUGAUUAGCUAGUUGGUGAGGUAAAGGCUCACCAAGGCUACGAUCAGUAGCUGGUCUUAGAUGAUGACCAGCCACAUUGGGACUGCAGACAGGGACCAAACUUUUACGGGAGGCAGCAGUGGUGAAUCUUGCGCAAUGAGCGAAAGCCUGACGCAGCCACGCCGCGUGGAUGAUGAAGGUCUUAGGAUUGUAAAAUCCUUUCACCGGUGAAGAUAAUGAAUGUAGCCGGAGAAGAAGCCCCGGCUAACUUCGUUCCAGCCGCCGCAGUAAUAC
rnacentral:rRNA from 1 species